GGUUUUAUAGUUUAUAUAAAAUACUAGACUGCAAUUCUAGAGACACAGCAAUGUUAAGACUU
rnacentral:tRNA from 1 species